rnacentral:rRNA from 1 species
UACGUAGGGACCAAGCGUUGUCCGGAAUCAUUGGGCGUAAAGAGCGUGUAGGCGGCUUGUUAAGUCUUGCGUGAAAUCUCGGGGCUCAACCCCGAGCGGUCGUGAGAAACUGGCAGGCUAGAGUGCGGGAGAGGAGAGUGGAAUUCCUGGUGUAGCGGUGAAAUGCGCAGAUAUCAGGAGGAACACCCGUGGCGAAGGCGGCGACCUGGGUUGACACUGACGCUGAGGCGCGAAAGCGUGGGGAGCAAACAGG